rnacentral:rRNA from 1 species
AGUGAACGCUGGCGGCAGGCCUAACACAUGCAAGUCGAACGGCAGCAUAGUAAGAGCUUGCUCUUAAGGGAGGUGAGUGGCGGAUGGGUGAGGAAUACAUCGGAAUCUACUUUUUAGUGGGGGAUAACGUAGGGAAACGUACGCUAAUACGGCUUACGACCUACGGGUGAAAGCAGGGGAUCUUCGGACUUUGCGCGAAUGCAUUAGCCGAUGACGGUUUAGCUGAGUGUCGAGGUAAAGGCCCACCAAGGCGACGAUCCGUAGCUGGUCUGAGAGGAUUGAUAGCCACCCUAGAACUGAGACACGGCGCAGACUCCUGGGGGAGGCAGCAGUGGGGAAUAUUGGAGGAUGGGCGCAAGCCUGAUCCUGCCAUACCGCGUGUGUGAUGAAGGCCUUCGGGUUGUGAAGCCCUUAUGUUAGGAAAGAAAUGCAGCAGGUUAAGACCGCGCUGUUGUGACGGUACCCAAAGAAUAAGCACCGGCUAACUUCGUG